ACGAAGUAGUGGGGCAACCUGCUACUUAGUGGCGGAAGGGUUAGUAAUACAUGGGUAACUUGCCUUUAACCUGGGGAUAACAGUUGGAAACGACUGCUAAUACCGAAUGGGGUGUGAACAGGGAGUCCUGAACACAUCAAAGUGGGGGAUCGCAAGACCUUGCGGUUAAAGAGAGGCCCAUGGGAUAUCAGCUAGUUGGUGCGGUAAAGGCGCACCAAGG
rnacentral:rRNA from 1 species